rnacentral:rRNA from 1 species
CCUACGGGCGGCAGCAGUGAGGAAUAUUGGUCAAUGGACGAGAGUCUGAACCAGCCAAGUAGCGUGAAGGAUGACUGCCCUAUGGGUUGUAAACUUCUUUUAUAUGGGAAUAAAACGUUCCACGUGUGGGAUUUUGUAUGUACCAUAUGAAUAAGGAUCGGCUAACUCCGUGCCAGCAGCCGCGGUAAUACGGAGGAUCCGAGUGUUAUCCGGAUUUAUUGGGUUUAAAGGGAGCGUAGGUGGAUUGUUAAGUCAGUUGUGAAAGUUUGCGGCUCAACCGUAAAAUUGCAGUUGAAACUGGCAGUCUUGAGUACAGUAGAGGUGGGCGGAAUUCGUGGUGUAGCGGUGAAAUGCUUAGAUAUCACGAAGAACUCCGAUUGCGAAGGCAGUUCACUGGACUGCAACUGACACUGAGGCUCGAAAGUGUGGGUAUCAAACAGGAUUAGAUACCCCUGUAGUC